AUCACUAUAAGCAGUAGGGUCAUGCUUUGUGUACAGUAUGUGAUAUUUUACCACUUUGCUUUAAUCAUAGAUCAAGUACAGUACCAGAUGGCUUGAUGGGUUUGGGCUCACAGAUGGGGAAGGAAUGGAAAGGCUGUGGUCUUUCCUCCAAAGAUUUGCCAGAGUCACAAAGGAGAUGACUCCAUCUCAUCGCCUUGACUUACUGACUGAUGCCCUUUUGCAUUAUGGACGGUGGAAAUCAACUGACCUAGAGGUGCAGCUCCUGCAAAGAGUAGACAAAGCAGAGAAAAUAUUGAUUCUUGCUCAAGAAGAUAUCUCAUGUCUUCAGAGAGGCACCAGUGUUGAUUUCUGAAGGAGACAUGGCGAGAUGGAAAAAAGCUAGCCCAACAGAAACCAAUAAGUAAGGAACUGAAGUUAAAGUCUUAAAUACUACACUGUCUGUAGAUGGAAAAGGGACUACAUCAUCAGACUGAUUCAGUUCUACAAGUUCAAGUAAGAGUUUAAUGUUUUUAUGUAAGACUAUGGUAAUUACAGACGUCUUUAAAGGAAAA